rnacentral:rRNA from 1 species
UACGUAGGUCCCGAGCGUUGUCCGGAUUUAUUGGGCGUAAAGCGAGCGCAGGUGGUUUAUUAAGUCUGGUGUAAAAGGCAGUGGCUCAACCAUUGUAUGCAUUGGAGACUGGUAGACUUGAGUGCAGGAGAGGAGAGUGGAAUUCCAUGUGUAGCGGUGAAAUGCGUAGAUAUAUGGAGGAACACCGGUAGCGAAAGCGGCUCUCUGGCCUGUAACUGACACUGAGGCUCGAAAGCGUGGGGAGCAAACAGG